GACGAACGCUGGCGGCAUGCCUAAUACAGGCAAGUCGAGCGAACAGAUGAAGUGCUUGCACUUCUGACGUUAGCGGCGAACGGGUGAGUAACACGUAAGGAAUCUACCUAUAAGCGGGGGAUAACAUUCGGAAACGGGUGCUAAUACCGCAUAAUAUCUUCUUCCGCAUGGAAGAAGAUUGAAAGACGGCUCUGCUGUCACUUAUAGAUGACCUUGCGGUGCAUCAGUUAGUUGGUGGGGUAAAGGCCUACCAAGACGAUGAUGCAUAGCCGAGCUGGGAGGGUAAGCGGCGCCAUUGGGGCUGAGCCACGGCCCAAACUCCUACGGGAGGCAGCAGUAGGGAAUCUUCCGCAAUGGGCGAGAGCCUGACGGAGCAAUGCCGCGUGGGUGAAGAAGGCCUUCGGGUCGUAAAACUCUGUUAUAAGAGAAGAACAAAUUGUAGAGUAACUGCUACAGUCUUGACGGUAUCUUAUCAGAAAGCCACGGCUAACUACGUGCCAGCCGCCGCCGUAA
rnacentral:rRNA from 1 species